GGAGUGAGUGGCGAACGGGUGAGUAACACGUGGGUAACCUGCCCAGAAGUAGGGGAUAACACCUGGAAACAGAUGCUAAUACCGUAUAACAGAGAAAACCGCAUGGUUUUCUUUUAAAAGAUGGCUCUGCUAUCACUUCUGGAUGGACCCGCGGCGUAUUAGCUAGUUGGUGAGGUAAAGGCUCACCAAGGCAGUGAUACGUAGCCGACCUGAGAGGGUAAUCGGCCACAUUGGGACUGAGACACGGCCCAGACUCCUACGGGAGGCAGCAGUAGGGAAUCUUCCACAAUGGACGCAAGUCUGAUGGAGCAACGCCGCGUGAGUGAAGAAGGGUUUCGGCUCGUAAAGCUCUGUUGUUAAAGAAGAACGUGGGUAAGAGUAACUGUUUACCCAGUGACGGUAUUUAACCAGAAAGCCACGGCUAACUACGUGCCAGCAGCCGCGGUAAUACGUAGGUGGCAAGCGUUAUCCGGAUUUAUUGGGCGUAAAGCGAGCGCAGGCGGUCUUUUAAGUCUAAUGUGAAAGCCUUCGGCUCAACCGAAGAAGUGCAUUGGAAACUGGGAGACUUGAGUGCAGAAGAGGACAGUGGAACUCCAUGUGUAGCGGUGAAAUGCGUAGAUAUAUGGAAGAACACCAGUGGCGAAGGCGGCUGUCUGGUCUGCAACUGACGCUGAGGCUCGAAAGCAUGGGUAGCGAACAGGAUUAGAUACCCUGGUAGUCCAUGCCGUAAACGAUGAUUACUAAGUGUUGGAGGGUUUCCGCCCUUCAGUGCUGCAGCUAACGCAUUAAGUAAUCCGCCUGGGGAGUACGACCGCAAGGUUGAAACUCAAAAGAAUUGACGGGGGCCCGCACAAGCGGUGGAGCAUGUGGUUUAAUUCGAAGCUACGCGAAGAACCUUACCAGGUCUUGACAUCUUCUGACAGUCUAAGAGAUUAGAGGUUCCCUUCGGGGACAGAAUGACAGGUGGUGCAUGGUGUCGUCA
rnacentral:rRNA from 1 species